rnacentral:rRNA from 1 species
CUUGGCGGCCAUAGCAAGUUGGAACCACCCCUUCCCAUUCCGAACAGGACCGUGAAACGACUUAGCGCCGAUGAUAGUGUGCACUACGCAUGUGAAAGUAGGUCACCGCCAAGC